rnacentral:lncRNA from 1 species
UUUUUUCCACUCUCUCUGUCACUUGCAUCUUCUGAUCCUUUCCUCCAAUUUUCAGGUACUCCUUUUUUUUUUAGUUCCUCCCUAAUUUCAUAUUUUUCCGUUAUCUUUUGUCUUCCUUAGUUUGAGUGAGGUUCUAUUUGGGCAUCUAAAGUUUUCGUCGUCUUAUUUUUUUCCGGCUAUUCAUAAUUAUUGGAGAUGACAUCGUAAACUAUUGAGCUGGAAGUAAUCUAAUUUAACUUUAAAAAUUAGUUAAGUUGGUUCUCAAAAAGUGAAACGCGACAGUUAAUUUGAGACACAGAAAAUAUUACUUUGUUAUCGAUUUGAUUCAUUGGUCUGUAUAUGGACUUCCUUCCCCCACCUACCCCUACAAACUAGUAAAGCUGAUUUUUGCUGCUUCACCUCUUUAUGUCCCUCUUUACGUUGUUAGUAUCUGGAUUUUGGCCUCUUUCUCCUUUUCUCACCAUUUUCUACAAUAUAACAACUAAUACCAGUAGUAGUAUCUCUCCGAAAAACAAACCAAUAUUAAAUUUUGAAACAUCAAUUGAUCAGAAAUAUCUUGUGGUUUUAGAAAAAAAAAUAAAAAAUUUACAUUGAAUUUUCUUAUUGCUUUCUUUGUCAGAUCAUCCAUUAUUAUUGUCUCAGCUAUUUUGUUAAUUCUCAUUGCUUUAUUUCAUAUUUCAGUCAUUUUCGUUGCAAUUAUUGUUCUUGCAUGUGGACUUUGGUAGUUGUUAUUUGCUUUCCUUUGGUUAUCGCUGCUUAAUUUUUUGGGUUAUUGAGUGAUAUUUUUACUUUGCACAUAAAAAUGCAUCUUCUACUGUUAAUUCCAGUUUUUUUUUUAUCAGUGAUAUGUGGCUGUAGACUUUAAAUUCUUCCAUUAAUAAUGGAGAGAAAGAGAGACACUAAAAUGGAAAGUGUACUCUUUUAAGGAAAAGUUCACUAAUUCUCCCACAUUGGUGGGAGAAGGGAACUUUGAAGUGUUUAUAAUAAGCACUUACUCCACAUGGAUAGUGAGGCAAAAACAAGGUGGUGCCUCGCGCCGUUGUCGUCGCUCGGCUUCAGCCUUGGCUUUGGAUCAAUUGAUGAGAUCUAUUUUUUAAGACAAAUUUUAUUUCUUUUGAUCGUCCAUUUAUGUGCAUGCAUGCAGUGGCGGAAACACUGUUUCGAAAUGCAGUGCAGAAGCGAAUUGAUGGUUCGGAAGGGAUGCAAUCCUUCAACGAAAUGACACACUGAUUCAUGAGAUGGUAUGCCUUUUCGGAAAAGACACAUUCUUAGGAGGAAUAGACAUGAUUUUUCAGAAAGGUUAUACCUUUUAAGUGAACCAUUGCCACCUUUCAAAAGAGGCACCUGAUGGCAAUAAAACCUACUUUCAUCCACAGGUUUUGGUACGAAAAUUUUUUGAAAUACAAACUCUUCUUGUCUUCAAAAACAUUCUGUGUGAUCAAUCAAAUCGUUGAGUGAGUUCGUUGAAUUCAACAAUUUGAGAUACCGCAAUUGUUCGGAUCAAUUUUUUUUUUAAAUAAAAUACAUUUGGUUCAAUAUGUAUGGAAAGUGUGAAUAGAAAAUGGAGGAAAAAUAGUGGAGAGAAAGAGAGAUACCAAAAUGGAAAGUGUACUCUUUUAAGGGAAAGUUCACUAAUUCUCCCACAUUGGUGGGAGAAGGGAACUUUGAAGUGUUUAUAAUAAGAAACACUUACACCACAUAGAUAGUGAGGCAAGAACAAGGUGGUGCCUCACCCUGCCGUCGUCGCUCGGCUUGGCUUCGGCUUCGGAUCGAUCAGAUUUAUUUUUUUAGACAAAUUUUAUUUCUUUUGAUCGUUCAUUUAUAUGCAUGCAUGCAGUGGCGGAAACACUAUUUCAAAAUGCAGUGCAGAAGCGAAUUUAUGCUUCAAAAAUGAUACAACCCUUCAACGAAAUGACACACUGAUUCAUGAAAUGGUAUGCCUGUUCGGAAAAGAUGCAUUCUUUGAACGAAUAGACAUGAUUUUUCAAAAAGGUUACACCUUUUAAGUGAACCAUUGCCACCUUUCAGAAGAGGAACCUGAAGGCUAUAAAAACCUGCUUUCAUCCACAAGUUUUGGUACAAAAAUUUUUUGAAAUACAAAUUUUUCUAGUCUUCAAAAAUAUAUUGUGUGAUCAACAAUUUGAAGUACCGCUAUUGUUCAGAUUGAAGAUAAUUUUAUCUUAGGAGGAAGAUUCCAUAACCUCGGGUGCAAUGAGGAGAAUUGUUCUUUAAGGACACUCCGUGAAGUCGGGGGACUUGGUCUUAAAAUUCUGUUUAAUCUUUUUCUGAAAUUUGACAUACUUCUUGGAUAGAUUAUUUAUAAUCUUGUGUUGAAGGUGUUAAGGAACUUCAUAAGUGUUCUUGUUUAUACAUGAACUUACGUUGAAGUUGUUGUUGCAUUUAUACAAAUUCUUCUACCCGAAAUAUUAUAAAUAACAAUCUUAAGUUAAAGAUUUGAAGACAAAAAUUUAACUAGUGAUUUGAAGACAAAAUCUUUAUCACAAGUUCAAGAUCACUCGAUUUGAAUUUAACUAGUAAUUUGAAGACAAAAUCUUUAUCACAAGUUCAAGAUCACUCGGUUGACGAUUUUAAGUGAUAAAAACUUCAUCGUUUUACUAGAAACAAGAAGUGUUUAAAGUUGCUGCAACUUUUUAAUAAGUAUUUCGAUAUACUAAAGGUACUGUCUUGUGUUGACAGGAAAAUGACGACUGAUAGUCAAAUGCAUGAUGCUGGAACGACUAUGGCGGCAUCUAGUAUUGUCACGACGAGUCGUACUAAUUCUUCGCAAGCUAUGGCAUCGAUGGAGAAACCCGAAAAGU